rnacentral:rRNA from 1 species
CCUACGGGUGGCAGCAGUGAGGAAUAUUGGUCAAUGGGCGCGAGCCUGAACCAGCCAAGUAGCGUGAAGGAUGACGGCCCUACGGGUUGUAAACUUCUUUUAUAAAGGAAUAAAGUGAGGCACGUGUGCCUUUUUGUAUGUACUUUAUGAAUAAGGAUAGGCUAACUCCGUGCCAGCAGCCGCGGUAAUACGGAGGAUCCGAGCGUUAUCCGGAUUUAUUGGGUUUAAAGGGAGCGUAGAUGGGUUGUUAAGUCAGUUGUGAAAGUUUGCGGCUCAACCGUAAAAUUGCAAUUGAUACUGGCAGUCUUGAGUGCAGUAGAGGUAGGCGGAAUUCGUGGUGUAGCGGUGAAAUGCUUAGAUAUCACGAAGAACUCCGAUGGCGAAGGCAGCUUACUAAGCUGCAACUGACACUGAUGCUCGAAAGUGUGGGUAGCAAACAGGAUUAGAUACCCCGGUAGUC